UACGGAGGGUGCGAGCGUUGUUCGGAAUCACUGGGCGUAAAGGGCGUGUAGGCGGUCCGCUAAGUCUGAUGUGAAAGCCCGGGGCUCACCCCCGGAAGGGCAUUGGAAACUGGCGGACUCGAGUCCCGGAGAGGAAGGUGGAAUUCCUGGUGUAGCGGUGAAAUGCGUAGAUAUCUGGAGGAACACCGGUGGCGAAGGCGGCAUCCUGGACCGAUAUUGACGCUGAUGCGCGAAAGCCAGGGGAGCAAACGGG
rnacentral:rRNA from 1 species